UUAACAAUAAAGAGAGUCUGUGA
rnacentral:piRNA from 1 species